rnacentral:rRNA from 1 species
GGUUAAGCGACUAAGCGUACACGGUGGAUGCCCUGGCAGUCAGAGGCGAUGAAGGACGUGCUAAUCUGCGAUAAGCGUCGGUAAGGUGAUAUGAACCGUUAUAACCGGCGAUUUCCGAAUGGGGAAACCCAGUGUGUUUCGACACACUAUCAUUAACUGAAUCCAUAGGUUAAUGAGGCGAACCGGGGGAACUGAAACAUCUAAGUACCCCGAGGAAAAGAAAUCAACCGAGAUUCCCCCAGUAGCGGCGAGCGAACGGGGAGCAGCCCAGAGCCUGAAUCAGUGUGUGUGUUAGUGGAAGCGUCUGGAAAGGCGCGCGAUACAGGGUGACAGCCCCGUACACAAAAAUGCACAUGCUGUGAGCUCGAUGAGUAGGGCGGGACACGUGGUAUCCUGUCUGAAUAUGGGGGGACCAUCCUCCAAGGCUAAAUACUCCUGACUGACCGAUAGUGAACCAGUACCGUGAGGGAAAGGCGAAAAGAACCCCGGCGAGGGGAGUGAAAAAGAACCUGAAACCGUGUACGUACAAGCAGUGGGAGCACGCUUAGGCGUGUGACUGCGUACCUUUUGUAUAAUGGGUCAGCGACUUAUAUUCUGUAGCAAGGUUAACCGAAUAGGGGAGCCGAAGGGAAACCGAGUCUUAACUGGGCGUUAAGUUGCAGGGUAUAGACCCGAAACCCGGUGAUCUAGCCAUGGGCAGGUUGAAGGUUGGGUAACACUAACUGGAGGACCGAACCGACUAAUGUUGAAAAAUUAGCGGAUGACUUGUGGCUGGGGGUGAAAGGCCAAUCAAACCGGGAGAUAGCUGGUUCUCCCCGAAAGCUAUUUAGGUAGCGCCUCGUGAAUUCAUCUCCGGGGGUAGAGCACUGUUUCGGCAAGGGGGUCAUCCCGACUUACCAACCCGAUGCAAACUGCGAAUACCGGAGAAUGUUAUCACGGGAGACACACGGCGGGUGCUAACGUCCGUCGUGAAGAGGGAAACAACCCAGACCGCCAGCUAAGGUCCCAAAGUCAUGGUUAAGUGGGAAACGAUGUGGGAAGGCCCAGACAGCCAGGAUGUUGGCUUAGAAGCAGCCAUCAUUUAAAGAAAGCGUAAUAGCUCACUGGUCGAGUCGGCCUGCGCGGAAGAUGUAACGGGGCUAAACCAUGCACCGAAGCUGCGGCAGCGACGCUUAUGCGUUGUUGGGUAGGGGAGCGUUCUGUAAGCCUGCGAAGGUGUGCUGUGAGGCAUGCUGGAGGUAUCAGAAGUGCGAAUGCUGACAUAAGUAACGAUAAAGCGGGUGAAAAGCCCGCUCGCCGGAAGACCAAGGGUUCCUGUCCAACGUUAAUCGGGGCAGGGUGAGUCGACCCCUAAGGCGAGGCCGAAAGGCGUAGUCGAUGGGAAACAGGUUAAUAUUCCUGUACUUGGUGUUACUGCGAAGGGGGGACGGAGAAGGCUAUGUUGGCCGGGCGACGGUUGUCCCGGUUUAAGCGUGUAGGCUGGUUUUCCAGGCAAAUCCGGAAAAUCAAGGCUGAGGCGUGAUGACGAGGCACUACGGUGCUGAAGCAACAAAUGCCCUGCUUCCAGGAAAAGCCUCUAAGCAUCAGGUAACAUCAAAUCGUACCCCAAACCGACACAGGUGGUCAGGUAGAGAAUACCAAGGCGCUUGAGAGAACUCGGGUGAAGGAACUAGGCAAAAUGGUGCCGUAACUUCGGGAGAAGGCACGCUGAUAUGUAGGUGAAGUCCCUCGCGGAUGGAGCUGAAAUCAGUCGAAGAUACCAGCUGGCUGCAACUGUUUAUUAAAAACACAGCACUGUGCAAACACGAAAGUGGACGUAUACGGUGUGACGCCUGCCCGGUGCCGGAAGGUUAAUUGAUGGGGUCAGCGCAAGCGAAGCUCUUGAUCGAAGCCCCGGUAAACGGCGGCCGUAACUAUAACGGUCCUAAGGUAGCGAAAUUCCUUGUCGGGUAAGUUCCGACCUGCACGAAUGGCGUAAUGAUGGCCAGGCUGUCUCCACCCGAGACUCAGUGAAAUUGAACUCGCUGUGAAGAUGCAGUGUACCCGCGGCAAGACGGAAAGACCCCGUGAACCUUUACUAUAGCUUGACACUGAACAUUGAGCCUUGAUGUGUAGGAUAGGUGGGAGGCUUUGAAGUGUGGACGCCAGUCUGCAUGGAGCCGACCUUGAAAUACCACCCUUUAAUGUUUGAUGUUCUAACGUGGACCCGUAAUCCGGGUUGCGGACAGUGUCUGGUGGGUAGUUUGACUGGGGCGGUCUCCUCCUAAAGAGUAACGGAGGAGCACGAAGGUUGGCUAAUCCUGGUCGGACAUCAGGAGGUUAGUGCAAUGGCAUAAGCCAGCUUGACUGCGAGCGUGACGGCGCGAGCAGGUGCGAAAGCAGGUCAUAGUGAUCCGGUGGUUCUGAAUGGAAGGGCCAUCGCUCAACGGAUAAAAGGUACUCCGGGGAUAACAGGCUGAUACCGCCCAAGAGUUCAUAUCGACGGCGGUGUUUGGCACCUCGAUGUCGGCUCAUCACAUCCUGGGGCUGAAGUAGGUCCCAAGGGUAUGGCUGUUCGCCAUUUAAAGUGGUACGCGAGCUGGGUUUAGAACGUCGUGAGACAGUUCGGUCCCUAUCUGCCGUGGGCGCUGGAGAACUGAGGGGGGCUGCUCCUAGUACGAGAGGACCGGAGUGGACGCAUCACUGGUGUUCGGGUUGUCAUGCCAAUGGCACUGCCCGGUAGCUAAAUGCGGAAGAGAUAAGUGCUGAAAGCAUCUAAGCACGAAACUUGCCCCGAGAUGAGUUCUCCCUGACUCCUUGAGAGUCCUGAAGGAACGUUGAAGACGACGACGUUGAUAGGCCGGGUGUGUAAGCGCAGCGAUGCGUUGAGCUAACCGGUACUAAUGAACCGUGAGGCUUAACCUU